rnacentral:misc_RNA from 1 species
AAAAAAUAAAGCAAAUGCGCUUAGAGACUCAACCCGCUAACACCUUCCGUUUCCUAUUCACACGUUCUGGUUCCUGUCAGGCACCGGAUCCAAUUCCGUUCCAAAUUGGUUUUCCCUUUCCUUUUUUUUCCCAGGACAUUUCCCGGAUAAAUAAAAACCCCCAACCCAUACCCCUUCUCCUCAAUCACCAAUUCUCAAAAAAUCUCAUUCUUAGCUAUUAUUUUUACUCCAAUCGAAAUCACAAUGGAUGUUUCUGUCAUUGCCGAUACUGUAACCCUGGCCACGCAGCAAGGAGUAGGGUUUACGAAUCCGCUACUCCACCGACAAAAUUGCAUCUCCAAUAGCAACCUUGCUCUCUCCGCUAGAUUCCUCCAAAUCUCCGUGGUUAUUUUGGAAGCACUAGCUCCUCCGCCGGUCAAAUCAAACCCGCAUAAAACCGCUCGCGGGACUCUUCUUCGCAAGAAACAACGGACGAGGCGGAAAUCGUGCAGCAGCGGAGGCUACGAGGAUGGCGGCGAGUAUGCUGGGUUUUGGGGUGGUGAUGGUGACGGUGACGGUCCGUUUGGUGGAGCUGGUGGAAGUUGGGGUGGUGGCAGAGGGUGGAAUUCUGACAGAUUUGGAGGGCAAAGUUGGGACGAGUCAUCGUGGUCGUCAUCAUCUGAGUUUGCUUAUGGGUUCGUUUAUGAGGUGAUUUAUUGGAUUGCCUUGUCGACUUGCAUGCAAUUUGCGUUCGAGAAGGUUGUGAGGAUCAUGACCGAUGGAAUCGGUGAUGCUGAGAGGGAGAAGGUUCCUAUGAGAUUGACUUCCGUUUGCUAAAUUGGUAAACGAUAUUGCAAAUUUAUGAAUGAAGGGGAAUGAAUUGGGAUAAUAGACUUAGUGUAUUUAAUUGGGAUAUCAUAUCAUAUGCUAUUUGCUCCGACUUUCCUUUCACAGAUAAUGCAAAUAUCGUAUAUAUGUUCAUCUAAAAAAAAAAAA